rnacentral:tRNA from 1 species
GGGGAAUUAGCUCAGCGGGAGAGCACCGCGCUGGCAGCGCGGGGGUCAGGGGUUCAAAUCCCCUAUUCUCCA